AGGGUUCGAUUCUGGCUCAGAACGAACGCUGGCGGCGCGUCUUAAGCAUGCAAGUCGAACGGCAAGAGGUAGCAAUACCUCCUAGAGUGGCGGACUGGUGAGUAACACGUGGGUGACAUACCCUUCAGAUGGGGAUAGCUAUUAGAAAUAGUAGAUAAUACCGAAUACGAGCACAGGGGUUAGAGAUCUGUGAGGAAAGGAGCUAAGGCUCCGCUGAAGGAAUGGCCUGCGGCCCAUUAGCUAGUUGGUGAGGUAAGAGCCCACCAAGGCGAUGAUGGGUAUCCGGCCUUAGAGGGUGAACGGACACAUUGGGACUGAGAUACGGCCCAGACUCCUACGGGAGGCAGCAGCUAAGAAUAUUCCGCAAUGGACGAAAGUCUGACGGAGCGACGCCGCGUGGAUGAAGAAGGCCGGAAGGUUGUAAAAAUCCUUUUGAAACUGAAGAAUAAGCGUUGUAGGGAAUGACAGCGUGGUGACAGUAGGUUUUGAAUAAGCAACGGCUAAUUACGUGCCAGCCGCAGC
rnacentral:rRNA from 1 species